rnacentral:lncRNA from 1 species
AAAAGGGGGUGGGGGGAGGAGGAGGAGGAAAAAAAAAAAAAAGCAGGAAAAAAAAAAAAAAAAAAAAAAAAAGCAGCUGAAAGAUGAGAAAAUUGACCAGAUUUGAGCCCUAUCCCUGAUUAUUCCCAGAGGCAAUGAGUGAUCUCUCCGUCGCAUAAACUGCCCUUAACCUUUCUAAUAAAUCAGACAAUCUGCUUCCUCUUGAUUGAGCAGCAUUCCAAACUGUGGUACCCCUGGGCUCUCUUCACAUUGCUGUGGUGCAGAAGAUUUAAAAUCAGGUAUGGCUGAGAGGCCACAAGUCCCUCAGUGAAAUUCUCGACUUGAGUCUGCCUUACAUUCUCUGAUUUGUUUAUCAUUUGGGUUUCUUUUUGUGGUGGCCUUUUAGCUGAUGUUCACAA